AACUACAGUCUUGUCACUGGUAUCUAGAUGUUUGUUCUGCUUUCUGUGUUCUAAAUUUUCCUGGUUUUCAAAGUUGCAUGUAGUUUGGCCACUGUCUUGGGAAAUGAUGACAGAGUAUGUGACUAAAUUCUUACAAAUAACUGGACAACUUCUUAUUACUAAUUAAUCAGCCAGCUAAAUUUUUGAAGGUGGUAAAACUUCAAAUAUAAUGAAUCACUGAUUUAUGGCUAAUGUCCUGUAUGAAUUGCCAUUAGGGCAGGUGCAGUGGGUUAUGCCUAUAGUAACCCACUGAGGAGCCUGUGGCAGGCAAAUCAGUUGAGCUCCGGAGUCCAAGACCAGCCUGAGCAACGCGAUGAAACCCUGUCUCUACAAAAAAAAAAGUAGCUGGGUGUGGUGGAAUACACAUGUAGUCCCAGCUACUCAGGAGGCUGAGGCAAGAGGAUCACCUGAGCCUCGCAGGCUGAGACAACAGUGAGCCAAGAUCACUGCACUUCAGCCUUGGCGAUGGAGUGAGACCCUGUCUCAAAUAAAUAAAUAAAUAAAUCGACGUUAGCUGUUUGUUUAAUAGAAUUAUUAAUUUGGAACAACUUUCUAUGCUGUUUGACAUCAUAUAUAUAAAAUCUUAGUAAAAAAGUUAAAACAUUUUAAAAAUAAUUAUUUAAAUUAUUAAUGUGUUAUUUAUACAUUUUUGGAAAAAAAUCCUAAAAGCUUGUGUGUGUGUGUAGUGUGUCUGUUGUGUAUAUAUGUAAAAUUUAUGCCUCAAGGUACAGAGCAUUACAUAAAGAAUGACUGCCUUCUUUUUUUUUUUUAAACAACUGGUUGCAAGGACUGGGCCCUUCAUGACCGGUGAGAAUUGGCAGUUGUUUGAGAUAGGGGGCGGUGGUAAAGUUGAUGAAAAGAAAUUCUGGAUGUAUUUUGAAGGUCAAGUCAGCAAAGAUUUGUUGUCGAUUAGAUGUGGAAUGUGAGAAAGAGUGAAAUUAGGAUGUCAUCAAGACUUUUGGCCUGAGCAACUGGAGGAUGUGUGGGGAGCACUGUGAGGAACAGGCAUUGGGGGAUAACGUCAGGAGCUCGAUCUGCGACUUGUGAGGUUGACACAUCUGUUUGAUAGUGAGAUGGAGAGCAGUAAGCAGUUAGAUACAGAAGCUGAGAGUUAGGGGAGAAGCACAAGGUAAGAUGUAAAUUUGAGACUCAUUGGUAUAUGCACAGCAUUUAAAGCCAUAAGACUAGAUUAACUCACCAAGGCAGUGAAGGUUGAACAAAAGAAGAGGUCUGAGGAAGGAACUCUUGGUUAGAGGUUGGGGAAUUAGGGGAAAGUACCCUUGAAGAGGGAAAUCUCCUUGGCUUGGUGACAUAGACAACAGAUAAAGAAAACAUUUCAAGAAGUGACUGUGCUUUAUGCUGAUAAUAAGUUACGUAAGAGGAAAACUGAGAAUUCACUGGCUCUGGCAGUGUGACAGCCAUUGGUGAAAUGGUGGAGUAAAGCCUGAGAGAUUCAAAAGAGAAUAGAGGAGAAUCAGAGGCACAGUGUCUGGGUGAAUCUUGAGUAGAGAAUAGAGGAGAAUCAGAGGCACAGUGUCUGGGUGAAUCUUGAGUAGAGAAUAGAGGAGAAUCAGAGGCACAGUGUCUGGGUGAAUCUUGAGUAGAGAAUAGAGGAGAAUCAGAGGCACAGUGUCUGGGUGAAUCUUGAGUUCUGCCACAAAGUGAAGGAAGGAAAUGGGGUCAUAGCUGGAAAAAAGAAAGGGAUCAAGAGAUGGUUUUUUACUUGUUGUAUUUUAAAUUGGAGAAUUAGCAGCAUAUAUAUGCUGAUGGGAAUGAUUCAGCAGGGAGGAAGAAAGGGCAAGUUGGGGAGGUUGCAGGAACAACCUCAUACGCAUUAUUGAGCUUUUCAUAUUUUGUUUAAUUGUAAACAAACACAUUACUGUGCUUUUCACUCAGAAUACAUGGAUAGACCCAUACGGGUGCUUUUCUCCUAGUCUCACCUUUGUUUUUAAAAUUUAUUUUUAUAUUUUAUUCUUUGGAGGCAGAGAACUUCCUCUGUUGCCCAGGAUAGAGUACAGUGGCGCAAUCUCAGCUCACUGCAGCCUCCUGGGCUCAAGCCGCCCUCCCACUUCAGCCUCCCGAGUAGCUGGGAUCACAGGUGCAUGCCACUAUGUCUGGCCAAUUUUUUUUUUAUUUUUUCCUGGACUCAAGCAAUCUUCUGCCUCAGCCUCCCAAAGUGCUACGAUUAAACUUGUGAGCCACCGCACCUGGCCCUAACCUUUAUUUUUGAGUUAACUUUGCUGUCUAGUCAUUGUAAUCCUGAAUUAGAGAUUUCUUGAAAAGACAGAAAAUCUGUGACUGAAAACUUUUUUCAUGAUUUUUGCUGUUAACUUCAAUUUUGCUUUUGACCAAUAUAAAAUCUCUUCUUCCAUUUCAGUCACUGUACAGACAUUUUAGACAUAGCAGAUUAUUUAAUCUUCAUAAUAACUAUAUAGCAGAUAUUAAUAUCCCCAUUUUAUAAAUGAGGAAAUUGGGGCUCAAAGAAGUUAAAUCACUUGCCCAAGACCACAUAGCUUGUGAUUGGCCGUGUCAAGAUGUAAACCCAGGUCUGAAUCUUCAGAUUAUUAAGUAGUACUUAGAAAUAAAGUUAUUGAGCUUCUACUUUCUAUAAAAAUGACAGUUUGCUAGCACUUUGCAUGAACUGUGUGGAAUUGAUACAUAAAAUUUUCAGUGCUUAGUAAUGUGGCUCACAAACUUCGUAGUCAAAUUUUAAGGUAUUUGAAAAUACAAAUAGUCUGAUUUAGAAGAGUCAAUCCCGAUUUUCAUAAACCAAUCUAGGUUUAUCUAUAAUUUAGGUUAUCUAAAUUAUACACUUGAUAAUUUGGUGUUUAUGGACUAGACUGUGCUAGAAUAAUCCAAUUGUUUAUUCAUAUUUAUUAUGGAAUUUCAUUUCACAUAGAACACAUAUAUUAAAUAUAAACAUACAUUUGCAUUUCAAAUGAUUGCCAGGUGGUUUAUCAUUUAAUCAGAAGUUCCAAAGAAGGAGAGGUAUUGGAAGCUAUCUUGUUAGCAAACAAAGCAGGGACAUUUGCCUAGCAUUGAAGAUGGGUAGAAUAUGAACUUCUUUGUUUUAUGGCACUAAUACGAGGAUUGCAGCCUAAAUAAGAUAUUUUGGUGAGAAGAAAAUAUUUUCUGGUUUUCACUACUGAAUAUAAGAAUAUGUGGAAUCCUUUUAUGUUGCAUGUUUAUGUCUAGCUAAAAAGAGAGACUGCAUGCACACUGUCUCCCUACAUAUAGAUCAUUAGGCAUAUCAGUUUGAUCUCCAUGUCUGAGAAGGCCCACAGAAUAAUGAACCCACUGAUAGCUUUUCAAGGACACAUCUUUUAAAGGCAGGAGUGUUUAUUAAUUUGCUGGUUUGUUCAUUCUAACGUCAUUUGUGGGCCUCCUCUGAGCCAUGCACCGUGCUAAGACAGGGCUACCGAGUAGAGUGGGAAAAGCCUUACCUGUUGACUUUCUAAGCAAAUUCUUAUGGAUGACCCUGUGCUGAGGCUUGCAGACAGCUAUGUGAUAUAUUCAACUCUGCGUUUAGAGAGUAUUGAUGAUAAUUAUGAGGUUACCCUGAGUCCAGUAAGAACUUUUGUCACUGUGCACUGUCUCAUCUUUUUAUGACGAAGAAAACAGUCUCAGUCAGAAAAUAUUGAACAGAAAUGGUCCAAAUCUACACACUCAAUCAAUAAUUGAUGACGCUCCAGAUAAAUGCAGGUAAAUCAAAAUACUCCAGUGUCAAUUCUAAGUAGCUAGCUUGAACUGUAUUAAAUCUCUGAUAGAAACCCAGUUCCAGCACAAAAGGGUGCCAUCUAAUGGCUAAGCUAGAGCAGCUUGAUGGAAGUGCUGGUACAUUCUAUUUUAAUUCACAGCUACAUCUGCUGGCCUAAAAGGGAACAUGUUUAAAAUGCUUAAAGUAAAACUUAGUUCCUUAAAAGUAUUUUGAUUUUGCUGUUUGUUUAUUCAUAAUUAUUCUGGAAUUUCAUUUCACAUAGAACACAUAUAAUAACGUUAAAUAUAAACACACAUGUGUAUUUUGCACAAUGGCAUGUCAUUUAAUCAGAGGUUCCAAAGAAGGAGAGGUAGGGGAAGAUGUCUUGUUAGCAGACCAAAGCAGGUAAGUUUGCCCACCAUUGGCAAGGAGGAGAAAUCAGUGCCAGUUCAAUAUCUACCCUGCUCCCCUGCGCAGCCUGGCCAGCAAACACUCCUUGACCAUUCAGUUUGUGUUCAUCGAUUACUUUCAAUUAUGGCAUUUUAUCAUUUGAUUAUGAUUAAAAUAGCACUAAUCUUAUCGCAAUAACUUAAUUGUGGAAAAAAAUGAACAUUUCCUUUGGGUUUAUAGUCUCCUAAAUCAGCUGUGUACAUGAUCCUGGGAAUGCACGCUGGGGCACUAUGAUGAGGCCAGGUGAGUGCACGCUGGGGCACUAGAUGAGGCCAGGCGAGUGCACGCUGGGGCACUAUGAUGAGGCCAGGUGAGUGCAUGCUGGGGCACUAGAUGAGGCCAGGCGAGUGCACGCUGGGGCACUAUGAUGAGGCCAGGCGAGUGUACUUGGGGCACUAGAUGAGGCCAGGCGAGUGCACGCUGGGGCACUAGAUGAGGCCAGGCGAGUGCACAUGGGGCACUAGAUGAGGCCAGGCAAGUGCACAUGGGGCACUGUGAUGAGGCCAGGCGAGUGCACAUGGGGCACUGUGAUGAGGCCAGGCGAGUGCACAUGGGGCACUGUGAUGAGGCCAGGCGAGUGCACAUGGGGCACUGUGAUGAGGCCAGGCGAGUGCACAUGGGGCACUGUGAUGAGGCCAGGCGAGUGCACAUGGGGCACUGUGAUGAGGCCAGGCGAGUGCACAUGGGGCACUAUGAUUAGGUUGUUUUAUCAGACAGACAGUUUAAGUUUGUAGAAUAGUUGAGGUAAAUUAUCUAAAGAAUUCUUCUACUAACUGGUAAUUCCCUAUCAAAGAAGGAAAAGAAACCUUGCUGUUUACAUACAAUUAUUUACAUGUAACUCAAGAGCAGUGACUUUAAAACAUUUUUACCUUUUAUUAUUUGUAGUAGGUAUUGAUACUUGAAGUAUUCUUAAGAGGUUUAGGAAAAAGAAAUAAAAUAAAAAUUCAGUAAAAUUUUAAAAAAGAGGUAGGUUAUUUAUAGCUAGACUACUUUGACUUUUUUCCUCCCCUUAAAAGGGGAAACAUUAGAUAUCUAAAUAAUUCCUAGUUUGUAUGAGUAGAACUUUAUCAAGGGUGUAUGUGCUAUGUCUGUGGACCUGUGCUGUGCAUUUGUGAGGAGGUGGUUAUCUCAAAGGACUGGUAGAAUCGCCAUUGCUAACCUUUACUGUGGCUUCUAGAGAAUGUAUUCAUGAUGCCUUGUAUAGUAGGAAUUUAUAGAUAAUUUAUAGCGGUUCUCAUAGGAGCUGAAAUCUCAAUUGUAAUAAAAACCAUAAAUGAAAAUGUUCCUAGUUAUUGUGAAAUACUUUAAAUUGUCAGAGAUUUAAAUUUUAAAAUUAAUGUAUAAAUGAAGGGAGUUUUUGAUUUGCUUUUUACCCCUUUAGCAUGGGAUAAGAAGUAUUUACGUUAGUCUGGGCAUGGUGGCUCAUGCUUGCAAUCUCAGCACUUUGGGAGGCUGAGACAGGAGGAUUGCUUGAGUCUGGGAGCUUAAGACCAGCCUAGGCAACACAGUGAGACCCUGCCUCUACAAAAAAAUUUUUUUAAUUAGCUGGGCAUGGUGGCACAUGCCCGUAGUCCCAACUACUUAGGAGGCUGAGCUGUGGGAGGAGUACCUGAGCCUGGCUAGGAGGUCGAGAGUGUAGCAAGACAAGAUUACACCACUGCAUUCCAGCCUGGGUGACAGAGAGAGACCUGUCCCAAAAAAAACCAAAAAACAAAAAACGGUAUUUGCCUAUAUAUAUAUAUAUAUAUAUAUAUAUAUAGAGAGAGAGAGAGAGAGAGAGAGAGAGAGAGAGAGGACUUUUUUACUCAAAAUUUUAAAAAAGACAGUCGGGUAUUUUUUGUAAAGAUAUGUACUCAUUUAAAAAAAAUCAGUGUAAAAAGUACAAAAAGAGAAGCAAAAAUCACCAGAAAUCUGACUAAGUUGUAAUCAUAAUUACAGUCGAAACAUCUUUUUGGAUCAUCUUGUGUAGGAUAUUCAUAGAAUUGUAGAGAAAUGCUGUUUUGCUGCCUGCUACUCUGGAAUCUUUUCUCACUGAACAGUCCCAGGAACAUCUUUGCACAGCAGAGUAUAUAAAUCUCCAUCACUUUUAAUCACUGCAUGGAACCCUAUUGUACAUUACAGUCUAUUUAAUCAGUCUCCUGCCAAUGGCAUUUAGAUUGUAAUUUUUCGCUAUUAAAUACCAUAGGGAACCUGUAGGCAUACAUCUUAUUGUACAAGAGAUGCUAUUGUUUGUUGAGUCAAAGUGCAUUUUAUAAAUGUUUUUGAUAUUUGUUGCUAACUAGCCCUCUAGAAAAGUUUAUACAAUUUAGAAGAUGUCAAAAAUACAUAAAAGUUUCCUGGCAUCCUUGCCCUGAGUGGCUUCUGUUACUCUGAAAUUUUUGCCAAUCUGAUUGACAGAAAAUAAUCCACCCUCACCCCCAACUCUUUUUCUUCCUGUAUCUCUCCUGAGCCCCUGCUGCUGGAAGGACUUUCAGGGAAGUGAUUUGUGAUUGGAGUCUUGCGCACCUUUCCUGGGCCCUGUCUUGCCUCCUCUUUUGCUAAUAGAUGUUGCUGCUUUCUCAAGAGCCCAGACCUCAUUUUCUUUAAAAAACAAAAAGUAAAACAUGAAUAAAACAGAUAUAUUUUAAAUAUGUCUCUAUACGUGGAUAUUAUACUUUCCUAUGAUAAGAGAGAAUCUUUAAGGGAAGUAAUAUUGUGUCUUUUUUCUAGGACAGUAUUGGAUGUACUCUAAUAAAAUUUAUUUUCUUCAGUUUUUUUUUUUUUAUAGCUGCUACUAGGUAUAAUUUUUAUGAUAAUAUUUAAGCUCACUUCUUAGUAACCUCAUGACCAGCUCGAGGGCCUUACCUAAUAAUUACAAUCAAAUUUCUUUUGGCUCUUUGCUGAUUUAAGUUUCACUGGUAGUCUGGUGUUUCUCUUAUUAGUACAUUUAUUCCUGCAUUAUUUUUACCUAUUCAUCUCAAAUGAAGCAGCAUGGUAGAGUGACUGUUAGAACCCCAUAUGUAAAUGGUAAAACUGUGAAAAAGCUUAGAAAUGUUGAACUUUGACAAUCUCUAAGGCGGGAAAUAGACUUUCAGUGCUAUAUACUUUCAUUGACUUAGAUCAAAGAUUAAAAAUAGACCUGAGUCUCCUGGCCGGUUGUUUUAAUGGCAGCCACUUUUGAGGGAUCUGCAGGGGAAGUCUGAGAAUCAGCUGAUACCUUUCCCUCUGCCUCCUUGCCUAAUCUAAUUUCAGUGCUUCUGGAGGUGUCUACCAGCUUCUGUCCCCAGGAAGCAAGCCUCAGUUUCUUAUUCUGAUACACGUCAGCAUACUCGGCCUCGCUUCCACUUCUUCACAGUGCUCAGUGGAACUCCCAGAGCAGUCAUCAUGAUCCUGCAGAGGUAGUUCCACCUGUCACCCUCUUGGGCCUUCAAACAGCUUGAGGACUGGGUAAUAUUUUCCCGGAAUCAUUUUUAAAUGAAUUGGAAGUAGCACUGAGCAUUAGUGAGGAAGUUCAAGUCAGAGGUGACAGGAACAUCUCUCUAUCCCUUAUUCCCCAUUCCAUCGCAGCUGUAAUAGGGGAGAGGCACUUGAUGUAAAUGUGGACAAGCAAUUUGGUGACAGAGAACACGAAUCACAGGGACCUGCUCACUUUAAAAUGGACGAUAAUGACCAAUGUACUUUUUUAAAAAGCCAAGCAGGGGAAUCAGCUAUUUUGGCAUAUUUCCAAAAUAUCUCUUUCAGAACUCACCAGUUUCCUUGUAUAAGUAAAAUAGGGCCCCAAGCAUUUUAUAAAGUGGGAAUUUGUGACAAGGACUGGGACAAAUCAGCUCUGCCAUAAAAGCUUUUUCGUUUGGAGGUCUGACACAGAUCAGACUUUGUCAUCUCGAUAACGUUCCCAGCCGCAUCCCACAGGAGGAAGGUAGCCUUGAUUUCACUUGGAUUUUCUUUUUCUUUGUCCUUAUUUCUUAGACUGAUCUUAGAAAAUUGGGCACACAUGAGCAGAUCUCUCUAAAAUAAAGCAUUGUGGACUGAAGACAUAGCAUUUGCUUUCCCCUUAAGCUCAGUUUUAAAAAGCUGCCUACGAUUGAUUAGUCACUUAUAAAUACCUAAAACUGUGGAACAGUGUUGUAUUUAGUUGAUAUGUACAGUUUGUAAGUAUUCACUUACCAGAAUAGCAGAAAAUGAUGUUCUCUCAAAUGGAUUUUUCUACCUGAAAUGUUUCUAACAAUUUUAAGAAGAAAUCCUUUUUCUAAUGUGCUGUGUAUUUUUCCACUAUGUAAAUUGCUUACCAUUUAACUUUUUCUUGAUGACUCAGAUCAAUCAUUUAUUGUUUGCUUCUUGUACUGACAGAUUCUAGGCUUUCACAGUUCUUUCUUCUUUUUAUGAGUUUUCUUGAUUCCUGUUUGGCUCUUAUCUGUAACUUCCAACUGUCCCAUUUAUUUGUGAAAUGCUGCUACUUUAUUAUGCACAGUUAUGCUUAAGGUUAUUAUAAUUUUUUUUAAUCCCCAAUCUUUCCUCCUUAACACGUUCCAGCCACUGAUGUCUUCAUUUACACCCUGAGCCCAGGUCCAUGGGCCCACAUGACUGGACCCAGGUGCUUGGAUGUCCUGCAGGCAUCACAUGUGUUCCUCAAUGAACUGUCAUUUGUCCCCAACUGCAACCUACUCCUGAUUCAUUCUCCCCAUGAAUAGUAGCAUCACCCACAAAGCUGCCCAGAGAGAAAAGCCAGGUGGCCAUUCCUGGCCACAUCUAAUCAGUCACCAGACCUUGCUUCUCCUCGACCCCCACAACCACUAUAGUUGAGGGCACCGUCUUGUUCCAAGAUGAUUCUGACAGCUCUCUGUUCUCCCUGCCCCCUGCUUUGCCUCUCUGCAGCUCUUUCUCCACACUUCUGCCAGGGCACUGUGGCCUUCACCUUCUCUGGACUUACCACACACACUGCCUUUCUUACUGUUAGCAGGGAUGAAAGGUCCAUGCUGCUGCCAGAGGCCCACCCCUGCCAUUUAGGUGAUUGUCAUGUGUUUCUUCUCUGCUGCAGGGUGUACAGACAUGCUCUAGUUUCUCCCACCUGUUAAAGUUCUCUCUAGAGACUUCUUAGCCUCCUCCAGCCACCAGCCCAUUUGUCUGCUCCCCUUUACACAAAAAAACUUCCCAAAAGAGUGUCUGUGGUCACUAUCUCCACUUCUUCUCCCUUCCUCUCUCAGUCCAGCUCCUUGCCCCACUGCCGCACUGGAACUGUUACUAAGGUUGCCAGUGCCCUCCUUGUUGCCAGAUCUUACUUUAUCCUCUGUUACUUGCCCUCCCAGCAACAUUUGGCACAAUGGAGCCCCCCACCGAAACACUGUCUGUGGCUUCCCAGAUACCUUCCACCUCACGAGCCAUUUUCCCUGUCUCCUGUGCUAGCCCCUGCCCUGGCCAGCCUCUAAACAUCAGUGUCCAGUAGCUCCUACUUAGACUCUUCUGUCCUCCAUCCGUCCUCAGCCCCUUGGCUCUUUCAUCCAGUCCCUGCCAUGUUAAAGCAAACGGUGCAGAUAUAUAGCUCCAGCCCUGACCUUCAGAUUGGCGUCUCAGCUUUGUAUUGUGCGCCCUCACACGUCUCACAGGCGUGUCAGACGAACCAUGUCCCAACUAGAGCACUUGAUUGCAAUUUAUUCCCAACUUGCUCCUUGGUCUUCCCCAUUUCAUAAAUGCCACCAUCAUCCCAUCCUUCCACUUCAAACCAAAAACUCUGGUGAGAAUCCUCUUGGAUUCUCUCAUUGCCCUUCAUUCCCAUCAUCUGAUGCACGCAAGUCCUGCUGGUCAGCACUGCCGCUGAACACGGCCUGCCUCCUUUCACCUCUCUACAUCCAUUCAUCUGUUGCCUCGUGUUUUAAGAGUUUCCUCUCUAGUCCCCGGCCUCUUCCUUAUUCCCUCUGGAAUUUUUUUCUCCACACAGCAGCCAGAGAUGUUUUUUAAAUGUCAGUCAGAUCAUGCUGCUUCCUUAUUUAAACCCCUUCAGUGGCUUCCUGUUGAAAAAGGUUUACAUGACGUAGCCUCACCGACCUCACUGACCUCAUCUUGAACCACCACAGUUGCCCACCCCUCCAUCCCCGCUGCACUCCAGCCCUGCCAGCCUUUGUAUUCCUUCAGCACAUGGGCCUGUUCCUGCCUAGGGCCUUUAUUCUAGCUUUGCCCAGGAAACUCCUUCCCCAGGUCCUUGUAUUGCUGGCUGUUUAGGGUUUCAACCCAAACUCAAUUCAGAGCAGCUUCUCCAGAUGUCUUCAUUCCCACCACCCAGUUACUCUCUGAAAUUAUCCUAUUUUCUUUUCUUUGUAGCACCUCUUGCAAAAUGAGAUUAUAUUGACUACUGUCUUAUCAGUCUUCACAAAAAGAAUGUAAAUUCUGAGAGUAGAGACCUCCUUUAUCUUGGUCAUUGCUGCAUCCUCAUGCCUGUAACAGUGCCUAAUGCAUUGUCGGUGUUUAGUAAGUAUUUACUGAAUGCAAUCUGAUCACAUCGCUUCUACCAUUUUAUUUCAGUGGCACACUCUUUUUUUUGUUUUUUUUUUUUUUGACAGUCUCACUCUGCUGUCCAGGCUGGAGUGCAGUGGCACAAUCUUGGCUCACUGAAACCUACCUCCUGAGUUCAAGCGAUUCUCUUGCCUCAGCCUCCUGAGUAGCUGGACUACAGGCACACGCCACCACGCUGGACUAAUUUUUGUAUUUUUUGUAGAGACGAGGCUUCACCAUGUUGGCCAGGCUGGUCUCAAACUCCUGACCUCAAGUGAUCCACUUGCCUCGGCCUCCUAAAGUGCUUGGAUCACAGGUGUGAGUCACAGCACCCAGCCUAAUGAAUUUUAAUUUCCUUGAUUUCCAUGUUUUAUGCCACAUUGUAAGUUUUCCUUUUUAAUGAUUAACACAAGUGGCUCUUUUACAUUACAUCGAAAAUUAUGUAUAAGAUGCUGCUUUCAAAGAACAAAAAUGUGAUUGUGGUUAUUUAUUAGAAGAGCUUGCCAAUUCAUUUUAUAUUUAAAUACCAUAAACAGGAAGUUAUCCCCAUGUUGUUCUUUGAAUUGACAUUUUGCCUUUUUUCUAUUCUUUGUGGGCCUCUGCUGGUCCUUCCUCCAGCCUUCCCAAUGUUGUUGACAAAGGAAAAUAUUUUCAUGUGCUGGGAUUUGCAAAGACCCCCAUGUGAGAAUUACUGAGCAAUAGAAGCAGAGCCCACCAAUUUAUUUUAAAACUACAAUUUGUAUUUUAUGAUUUUUCAAAUCAUGAAGAUGACUUUCAAAAUAAUUGUGUUUAUAUAAUGUUCCCCUUGCAUGCUGGUGAGUUCGUGGCUGAUUUCAGAUCAGCUUAUAAUAAUUAACACUGCUUUCAUUGUGUCCCUUUUUAAAGUUUUCCAAAGAACAAAACAUUUUUAAAUAACUUUAAAGGAUAAAAAUAGUCUCUCUACCACUGUGUAUUUGUUUCACUGCAUUUCUAGCACUGUAGGGUUUUUUUUUUAACGUUUUAACUUGGUAAAGGUGGAUAUGGGCUUUGAAAAUAGCCACAAAAUGUUUUAGCUUAGCCAAAGCUUUACUUGAAAUUUUGCAUCAACUUUCUGAAGAUGCCCCAGUGGGUGCCACCUACCCAUUUUACUUACCUGGAUUUUUGGAACUCUUUCUAGGUGCAGUCUGUCUCACCUUUUAGGCCACUCUCCAGGCUUGCUCAGCUCUACAGUUAUUCAUUCUCUUCUACUACAUUUACCAAAUCCCUAUUCAUGUGCCCAGCUCUGUUCUGGAGGACAGGGAUAUGCUGAUAAACCAAAGGUGACCCUUCUUGCAGUGACACAUUCAUAAGUAUUUUACAUUUAAUUGUGUGUGAUAAAUCCUAUAAAGGAGAGGUACAAAGUACAGUGGUGACAUAGGCUUUUAGAAAGUCAGUUCUGCUUAGGGGAUUGGCAAAGAUUGGCAAGAGAAUGGAGUAUCAGAACUAGACUCCCAGAUAGGAAAAGGAGGAUUUGAGAGCUGGGUGUGAAUCCAGGUGAAAGGAAUAAUGGGUUAGUUGCAGCCAUUCUUGGCCCAGGGGCUUGUUGGUUGUUUUCAUUUCCUGUUUCCUCCCUCUUAAGCGGUAUAACCGAAAGUACUGAGGUGUAAUCGUCCAUUAGCUAUAAUACUGUACUGCGUUUUGAAUAGAUUAUUUGAGUCAGGUUUUCAAUUCAGAAGGAAUAAUGAGCCACCUAAGAUAGGAAGUCACUAGGGAGCUGGCUAGCUAUAUUUGGCUUGCCACAUCUUUCAGUAGACCUAAAUCUUCUCUGGAGGUCACAUACAUCUGUUUGUCUUUGUUAGUGCUUUCCUUUUUUAUCUCAAGACUUACUGUAAAUAAAAAAGCUGCUUUGUUUGGUGUGUUUUUUUUAUUUUGAACAGUUUUUCCCCCACCUUAAGAUUGACUUAGUUGUGGCUAAGGGGAAAAACUGAAGAGGCAGCUAUUAUGGAGAUUGUAUUUCUGAAGAGGUUCAAACUGUAGAAAGAAAAUGACUAUAGAAAGUAGCCAUCCAGCAAAGAGUCUUUAUGUCCUUGAAUUUCAUUUUCAAGAACACUUAGCUUGGAAAAUGACUUGACUGGUGAAAGGAAUCAUUAUAGGUGGAUGGUGGGAACAGGCACCAGGUUAAAACAUUUCAGGUUAUGACAGAUAAAAGAAAUGAAAGCUAUCAAAAGUUGUUGCUUUUAAAGGAUUUCUCUAAAACAUUAGCCACCAUUAAAUAAAGACGACCCUUUUAAAACUGCAGUUUUUAAUUUGACAAAUGUUAACCAUAAAUCUGACUACCAGUGCUAAGAGAAUUCAUGUACCUAGUGCUCUUACGAUUUGGUGUGUCAUGGAGUUUGUGGCUCUGUCAUCUGAACAGGGUGUCUGAUCCAUACUGAUAAGGAAAACGUGGCCAGCAGGUUGCCCUGAAACAGGAUGCCAGGAAUUCAACUGAUGGCACACCUUUCCCACCCUCACCAACGCCUUUGGUUACUGUUCCUCUCCUCCUGGGCUGCCUUUUUUCUUCUUUUUUUGAGGCGUGGUGGCUCAUACCUGUAAUCCCAGCACUUUGGGAGGCCUAGAUGGUCAGGUCACCUGAGAUCAAGAGUUAGAGACCAGCCUGACCAAUGUGGUGAAACCCCGUGUCUCUACUAAAAAUACAAAAAUUAGCCAGGUGUGGUGGUGUGUGUGCCUAUGUUCCCAGCUACUCAGGAGGCUGAAGCAGGAGAAUCGCUUGAACCUGGGAGGUGGAGAUUGCCGUGAGCUGAGACCACACCAUUGCACUCCAGCCUGGGCAGCAGAGCAAGACUCUGUCUAAAAAAAAAAAAAGAUUUUCAAUUCCAAAUAUAAAGUAUUCAUUUUGUCAGUAUUUAAUACUCUGAAACAGAGAUCGUUUGCUGAUCAUGAGGGGCUGCAUGUUCCAAGGAGCCCAUUCCAGAGCACACUGCUGUUGAGUAAGAGGGGGAGGUUUUGAGGAACCGUUGCAUGGUCAGAAUGCUGUCGUUUUUAUUAGAGCUUUUGUAAUUUACUUGGCUUAUUAGGGUAUGCAUUUCAUCAGAUGUGAAGUUGACACCUCCUCAGAAAUGUUAGGGGAAUUUAGUUCUUAAGAUUGCCCAAAGAAAUGCAGAAGUAAGGCAUACUGAUGCCACGUUGCACUAGAUAAUGUAUUUCACUGCUUUGGUCAGAUAUCUGAUUUGUACAUUGGUUAAAAUUUGCCCUUUUAAGGACACUUGAGAGAUAUCCUCAUUUUAAUUGAGGGCUACAUCACCAACUUUCACCUGAGAAGUCGUUUUUCUUCGGGACGUACAAUCAAAGGCUUUCCUCCAUCAUGAGAAAAGAAGUAGCAUUCUUGCCUGUUGAGUUUUUAGUGCUGGAGUGACUCCCAGCGGCUCCUACCCCACUCAAGCUCCAGCUUACUGUCCCAGUGUGGGUCCUGGCCAGAAGUGGCACUAAGGCAGUGGGAUCUUUUAUAAAUAGGCCUCCAGCGCAAUACACCAGAAAGCAGGAGCCCACUUCUGGGACACUGGGAGAUGGUGCAGGCAGCCACCAGUUUGCAAAGCACAGGGCCCUAUCAUUCCCGGCAGGGUCACGGUUCAGAAGAUGUAACCUGAUUUCCUUGGCAUUCAUACUAAAAAUAGAAAACUAGUAAUUCCAGGGAUCUGGGUUAGCCUCUUAAGCAUGUCAACUAUUGAUGAGAACAUUCUUAGUAAAACUAACUCCAGAAAUCACUUGCUAGAGAAACAGCCCUUCACCGCCCUAGUCUGAGCACCCAUGGAAAGCAUGUGUUGGAGGCACUGGGUCGUGCAUACCCGCCUUAGAGGGUUGAAGGUGCUGCCAACUGCUCUUGGAGUCUCAACGUUCUGGUCAACGGUUUUUUUUCCAUUCUCUCCUUCCACUUCUUGAGUGAGCAGCUAUGAGUUUGACUGUGCCUGUUGUGCAGGCCAUCCAGAGAGUGAGCUCAGCAGGAGCGAAUUUCUUGUGCCUUGGGAUGGUCCUGUGUCCCUGUCAGGCAGCGCUGAUGCCGCUCAAGCACAUCUGGCUCUUCAUACCCGUGAGCAAGAUGGCGACUGUGAAGAGUGAGCUUAUUGAGCGCUUCAGUUCCGAGGAGCCGGUUCAUCAUAGUAAUGUCUCCAUCAUAGGAACUGGAUCGGUGGGCAUGGCCUGCACUGUCAGCAUAUUAUUAAAAGGCUUGAGUGACAAACUUGCCCUUGUGGAUCUUGAUGAAGGCAAACUGAAGGGCAAGACAGUGGAUCUUCAACAUGGCAGCCCUUUCAUGAAAAUGCUGAAUAUUGUUUGUAGCCAAGAUUACCUUGUCACAGCAAACUUCAAUCUAGUGAUUAUCACAGCAAGUGCAUGCCAAGAAAAGGGAGAGACGUGCCUUAAUUUAGUCCAGCAAAAUGUGGCCAUCUUCAGGUUAAUGAUUUCCAGUAUUGUCCAGUACAUCCCCCUCUGCAAACUGAUUAUUGUUUCCAAUCCAGUGGAUAUCUUAACCUAUGUAGCCUGGAAGUUGAGUGCAUUUCCCAGAAACUGUGUUGUUGGAAGCAGCUGUAAUCCAGAUACUGCUCAUUUUCGUUUGUUGAUUGGACAAAAGCUUGGUAUCCAUUCUGAAAGCUGCUGUGGAUGGAUCCUCGGAGAGCAUGGAGACUCAAGUGUUCCUGUGUGGAGUGGAGUAAACAUAGCCGGUGUCCCUUUGAAGGAUCUGAACUCUGAUAUAGGAACUGACAAAGAUCCUGAGCAAUGGAAAAAUGUCUACAAAGAAGUGACUGCUAGUGCCUAUGAGAUUAUCAAAAUGAAACGCUAUACUUCUUGGGCCAUUGGCCUAUCUGUAGCUGAUUUAACAAAGUAUUUUGAAGAAUCUUAGGAGAACACAUCAGUUUCCACCACAAUUAAGGGCCUCUAUGGAAUAGAUGAAGUAUUCCUCAGUAUUCCUUGUAUCCUGGGAGAAAUGGUAUUACCAACCAAAUAAAGACAAAGCUGACCCCUGAAGAGGAGGCCCAUCUGAAAAUGAGUGCAAAAACACUUUGCGAAAUUCAGCAGGAGCUUAAGCUUUAAAGUUGUCUAAAACUACCAUUCUGAAAGUGUUGAAGAGAUCAUAGAUACAGGAUUAUAUAUCAGAAUUUUUAAUAAACUUGAAUUCCUAAAAGAUGGAAACAGGAAAGUCGGUAGUGUGACUUUCCUAUUUAUUUAGUCCUCCAGCUCUUUUAUUUAGCAUCCAGGUCCUGGACAGUACUUAUUUACAAUUCCUAAAGAAGUGUUUUUGGUACCUCUGAUAUAGCAGCACUUACCUUGUUAUAUAUAUGUAGUUGGCAUGUGGUUGCCAAAAAGUAGGAUGUAGGUAUUAUUGUGUUCUGGAAAUUCUGAUUCUUUUCAUUAGAUAUAUGCUAUUUCUUUCAUUCUUACUGGUUUAUACCUAUGUUCAUGUAUAUGCUGUAAAAAAGUGGUAGUUUCUUCUACAGUGUAAAAAUAAAAGUAUGAACAUACAAGUAUUUUUUGUAAUGGAUCCAUCUUAAGACGGCCUUCAUUCCUCUGGGAUGGCCUUUCAGCUGGGUCAUUAAAAAGACAUGAAGUGGGGACUGUAGCUGCAUGUUGGUCGUGUGUGUACAUGUGCACAUGUGUGUAUGUGUGCACACCAGUGAGGCAGAAUCAUUAGGUUAAGAUAUGAAAAUAAUGAUCUGAUGGUAGCUGUUAUAAAAUGUUUAAUGCAGUAAUGGAGAAAGCUUUUAGAAAGAGGCUUGACAGGCUGGGUGUGGUGGCUCACACCUAUAAACCCAGCACUUUGGGAGGUCGAGGCACGUGGAUCACAAGGUUAGGAGUUUGAGACCAGCCUGGCCAAGAUGGUGAAACCCUGUCUCUACUAAAAAUACAAAAAUUAGCCAGGCAUGGUAGCACGCACCUAUAUUCCCAGCUACUCAGGAGGCUGAGGCAGAAGAAUCACUGGAAUCCAGGAGGCAGAAGAAUCGCUGGAAUCCAGGAGGCAGAGGUUGCAGUGAGCCAAGAUUGAGCCACUGGACUCCAGCCUGGGUGACAGAGUGAGACUCCAUCUCAAAAAAAAAAGAGGCUUGACAGUCAGAGGUGUGGUAUAUUUACUGUCGUUUGUUUGGCAGGGAGGAAACUUCCCUAAAUUUUGCAGUUACUAAAAAUAAAAGCCUGACUGAGUGAAAGUCAUUUUAGAAUUGCCCCUGAGAACCUGACCUGUUAGCACAUUAAAUCAAGAAGCAUGUUAGAAAUCAUUCUUACUAGGCUGGAUCUUAGCCUCAAAGUGGUCCUGGUUCUAAGAGGCUCCUAGGUUAUUCCUCCUAUUCAAUUUAUUUCAUGUUUCCAGAAAGUUUUUGCUUUUGAAUUGUGCCUUAUUGUUACUAUGAUAAAAAUUGAUCAUUUUGAUGCAUACUUCAGGAUUGUAUUUUUCAGAAAGUUACAUGUUUGCUUUGUAUUUCUAAAUCAACUUCACUACAGAUUCUGGCCUUUAUGUAUGUCACACAGUGAAAGUUGAGGAGAAAGUAAAAAUGUCUGUCUGGUAUUUACCUAAAUGAUAGUAUUAGUGGCUUAGAAAAUGGAAAGCUGAGAUGUAAAAAUUCGCAUUAGCUUUCCUAAUGCAGUUGAGUAUUAAAUAAAUAAUACGGUAUAUUCAGACACAUUUUAUCUCAGGAUCCAGUUUGGAUAGCAACAAAACUAGUCAAAAGUGAAAGCUGUCAGUAUUUGCCCUCCAAACCUGCUUAGUCCUGCUUAGUUCAAUUUAUCCAGCAGGACAGUGAUCCUCCAAAAAACUGCCCCUUUUCUACCCUGACCAGAGCUCCCUUACUACUUUAUUGAAAACAUCUAGAAAUGUUGAUGUCUCAGGAAGCAGUGUCAUGCAAUGGGAUUCACUGAUGUGCUGAGCUCCUUGAAAGUGGGAAGAGAGUUGGUUCAGUUCUAGACGGUUUUAAGAGCUUUUGAGAGCUCAACUGCAGAAUACCUUCUCCCUCUUAUCCAGCCUUUUAGUUUUUAUUCGUGUUUCAGCCAAACAUAGUGUACUAUUACAGGGCAUCAGAGCAUGCCUUAAGGCUAUUUUAUAAUUCUCUUCACCAUCUUUGCCAGCCAGAGGAGGAUGGGUUAUGCUGUAGUCAAAACUAGUCUCCAAAUCUGUGGCUUAAAAUAACAAAGGUUUAUUUCUCAGCUGUGUAAACCCCCCCUGGGUUUCAGCAACUCUCAAGGAAAAAGCUGUCCUCACAUGCUAGCUCGGCACCACCAGAGCAAUACAGAUUUCCAUGACUGCUAUGGAAAGAGCGUCGAACCCCUGUGAAUAAGUGCUCAGCCUGGGAGCGACACACAUUCUUUGCUCAUAUUUCAUUAGCCAAAACUAGUCACAUGGUUACCGAACUUCAAGGAGGUGGGGAGGUACAACUCCCCUAUAUGCAAAAGUAGGUGAGUACUGGCUAUGUGUGAACAUAUACUAUUCAAAAUAAAAUGGUCACCAUUAAAAGAGACAUCUAUGCUUUUUAUGUAAUUUUUAGUGAAAGCUGGCAAAUGGGUAGAAGAUACAGAGGUACUUUGUCUUUCUAGGUCCUGGGCAUGUCUCAUGCCCAGUUGUACUCAUAAGCCAUGUCUUUAUGGGUAAGUUAACCUCUCUGACUUCUGGUUUUUUAUAUGUAAAGUGGUGGUAAUAAUUUCUGCCAUAUAGAGUUGUGAAGAUUGAAUCAGAGCCUAAUGCUUUGUCCAGUGCCUGACACAUAAGUGAUCCCAAAUGGCAUAUAUUAUUCCUGUUCAAGCAACAUUUUACAACCUAGCUAUGCUUUUUAAUCUCCUAGUACUAGUAUUAUAUAGUCUUAUUCUGUUGUAUUUUAUGAAGAAGCAGAAGUCCCAGAUUGUUGAAGAUGACCAUUGACUCUGUAAUUAUUGACAUUAUCCAAAGGGUUUUUCGUCAGUAGAUCCUAUAGAGCUUCCAUCCCUGUCGCCCCCAGCGUUGAGGGCAGUAACAGUCCUGCACCAAGUGAAGAAAGAGAAGCCAAAUGAGCCAGAAAAUGGCAAAAACAUUUUAAAACUGAGAACUUGGAAUUCCAACAACUGCCUAUUUAUUCCAAUUGAUGGUUAAGGAUUUUCUGAAAUUAAUUAAAUUGGGUACAUAACCUGAAGCUUUUAAGUAAUUUUCAGCACACUGUAUAUUAGACCAAAUGUUUUCAAAUGUUUUUUCCCCUACCAAGACAUGCAUGGUAAAUGUGUAGCAAUGUCCCGUGUGCAUAUUCAAGUGGUACUCAGAGUAAGUACUCAGAGUGGUCGGAUCUGCUCUUACCAGCCAUGGCACAGCCCAUUGUUUAGCUUCUCUGAGCUUCCAUCACCAUAUCUUUAAAAGAGGGAUGAUGUUUACUCCGCUCAGUUGUUGGGAGGGUUGGAUGAGAAGCAUGUCUGGUAUAUAGUAAGGACCCUCUGAGCAGCAUCAGUGGUUGGUCUCACUCCCGGCCUACUGGCUAUAUGGCCCUUCAAGAAGCUAUUGAAAUGUGAACAAGAAUAAUAUUAUUAGAGGCAUAAUCCUGAAUCUGUUUUAAUAUCUAAAAAAGCCAUUGUAUCUACAGAAUGUCCAUAUUUGUGACAAAUUGCUUAUAAUACACUUUCCAUUUGUCAUGACACUCCAUUUGAGCACCACUAGCUGAGACAGUGGUAUUUUCUGUGAAUAUACAACACAGCACUGUGGACACCAAGGCACUGGGACUCACAGGUGAGAAUGGUGGCCCAUAGCACUAGGGAGCACUGUUUGUGUCUUUGUUUUGUUUUGUUUUGCUUUGAGAUGGAAUCUCACUCUGUUGUCCAGACUGAGUGCAGUGGCAUCCUCCGGUCCCCUCCCCUGUCCUCACCACCCUUUUCUCUCCUCCUCUGACCUCACCACCCUCUGCUCCCCUCCCUAGGCCUCACCACUCUUCACUCGCCUGGGAAAUGCCUCGCCCGCAUUUCCCAGCCUCUCCCUUCUCAGCAGCUGACCACAUUUGGGACCACUGGAAGGGAGACUGGUGAAUGAUUCUGUUGAUGUCUUGGCCAUCUGACAUCCUGUUUGAAAACUGUGUCAUCUGGCUUAGCUGUAAAAGAACCAGGCAGCACAUUGCCAACCCUGGCCAGAGAGAUGUCUGUUUCAACUAUAAAAGUCUAUGCAAAGUUCCUCAGUGGGGGCGAUAUUAAUGUUUUGGACAAAGCAAUGAGUUCUUUAUGGAAGAGGGAGUGGGGAGAGAGACAUCCAUGAGCUGUGUAUCUUCAACAUUAGUGUCUGGGUCCAGAACACUGAGAUGGUUGGCACGGAUACAGACAACAUGUAAUAUGUAAGAAAGAGCUUACAUAUCUUCCAGUGACAGAAUACGUAAACCAAAAUGAUAUGUGGCUAUAAAGUAAUGUACUUAACAGACAUUCCCUAAUGUUUAUAUCCAUGUGAGCUUUGUUCUUAGAAUACAGCACACUUAUUUUGAUAACACAGCAGUGAUAAUAGCUAAUGUGUAUUGAGCACUUUCCAUGUGUUAGAUGCUGUGCUUUAUAUGCUUUAAAUGCGCCUUAAUCCUCACAACUCUUUAAGCAGGUAAUUACUGUCUCUAUUCUACAUAUGUGGAAACCAUGGCUUUCGAGAGUAAGCAGCUUUCGCAGGUGGUGGAGCUAGGAUUUGAGCAGAGUCCAUGCUGCUGGCAGCAGUGCUAGGAGUAAAUGUCUAGGAUUUACAAGUCCCAAACAAGAUGCACCCCUUAAUUUGGAAACCAGGUAAAGAUUCAGCCUCAAAUUGAAAUAAAUAAGCAUCAACGUUAAAGAAAUAUUAGCUGAUUCUCAAAAUAACCACUCUAAGAAAUGACUUGCAUUUUGCAGAUGAGUCCAGGGUACUUCACAAACCUGAUCAAGGAAAUCUCUAUGCUUAGGAAAAUAUGACUGGCAGAUGGCUGAUGAGAAAAAUUUGGAAUGCAGUGCUGUGGUGGUGCUGAAAUAUCUUCAUAGAAGGACCGUCUGUAGAUCAGCCAGGAUGAAUCAGAGAGUGUUACUAGUACUGGCCAGUGUAAAGUUGACUUGACUUCCGUAAAUCAGUGUCCCACCUGAUGGGGUUAUGCACUUAGGUGGAUGCAGGUGCUCCAGGUGAACUGGAAUAAUACUGUGUGGACGCUGCAUGUUGAGAUCUCUUAGGCUGGGCACAGUGGUGCACGCCUGUGAUCUCAGCACUUUGGGAGGCCGGGGUGGGGGGACUGCAGGAAUUCAGGAGUUUGAGACCAGCCUGGGCAACAUAGCGAGACUCCAUCUCUACCUAAAAUGCAAACAUUAGCAAAUACCUGGAGUCCCAGCUACUUGGGGGCAGUCAGGUGGGACAACCGCUUGAGCCCAGGAGGUUGACGCUGCAGUGAGCCAUUGUGCCACCGCACUCCAUCCUGGGCAACACAGUGAGACCCUGCCUCAAAGAAAAAACACCACUAUCUGACAUCUGAGAACAUUCUGCUUUAGCUACCAUUCCUUGAUUUAUUCUUUACUAAACUACUAAGUUUCUUCUCUCUGCCCUUUCUGUCUCUAAAAUUCUAGCUUUGAUUGACCUAAUUAUAUUUAUUUGUUCAGAUAGAAAUCCCAUCCUCGACUGCAUCUUUAUAUAUGAAAGCCAACAAUACACAUUCUUCUCCUGGGAGGGAAUAAUAAUUAUGAAGCGUUGACAGUUUAGGACAUGUUGCCUUGUAGAUUAAGAGUGGUUUGUUUGUUUUUAAAGAGAUGGAGUCUUACUGUGUUGCC